UACGUAGGGGGCAAGCGUUGUCCGGAAUCAUUGGGCGUAACGCGCGUGUAGGCGGUCCGGUAAGUCCGCUGUGAAAGUCGGGGGCUCAACCCUCGGAUGCCGGUGGAUACUGUCGGGCUUGAGUACGGAAGAGGCGAGUGGAAUUCCUGGUGUAGCGGUGAAAUGCGCAGAUAUCAGGAGGAACACCGGUGGCGAAGGCGGGAUCCUGGGCCAGUACUGACGCUGAGGAGCGAAAGCGUGGGGAGCAAACAGG
rnacentral:rRNA from 1 species